CGACUUGGGACCGGGAGGGGCCGGAGGUACUCCCGGGGUAGGGGUGAAAUCCGUUGAUCCCGGGAGGACCACCCGUAGCGAAGGCGUCCGGCUGGAACGGGUCCGACGGUGAGGGACGAAGGCCAGGGGCGCGAACCGGAUUAGAUACCCGGGUAGUCCUGGCUGUAAACGAUGCGGGCUUUGCGUCGGCACUGCCACGAGUGGUGCCGGUGUUGAAGGGAAGCCGUUAAGCCCGCCGCCUGGGGAGUACGGGCGCAAGCCUGAAACUUAA
rnacentral:rRNA from 1 species